UACGGGGGGAGCAAGCGUUGUUCGGAUUUACUGGGCGUAAAGGGCGCGUAGGCGGCACCGCAAGUCGACUGUGAAAUCUCCGGGCUUAACUCGGAAAGGUCAGCCGAUACUGCGGAGCUAGAGUGCAGAAGGGGCAACUGGAAUUCUCGGUGUAGCGGUGAAAUGCGUAGAUAUCGAGAGGAACACCUGCGGCGAAGGCGGGUUGCUGGGCUGACACUGACGCUGAUGCGCGAAAGUGUGGGGAGCGAACAGG
rnacentral:rRNA from 1 species